GUUUUAAUGUAAUAAAACUUAAACUCCUAGGAAGUGUGGUCGGGGGAAGAGAGGUAGAAGAUGAAAAAUGGAAUUCUGUGAAGAGGGCCAAUGAAGAAAACCCAAUACCUAACACUGGGAGCUUCAGAAAGACAGACCAGAGAAUAUGGAAGGGAAUAUAUUAUCAAUGACACACAGAAAAGAAACUUCCAGAACAGAGGCCAUGAAGCUUCAGUUUGAACCUGGCUGAGCAUCCAACACAGUGAAAUGAAACUGAAGGGCGACACAUGGAGACAUCACAAUGAAGCUUCAGCAGGUGAACAUUCAGAGGUGAGCAUUUCAGGAGGACAGAGUUAGAAAGCAGCAUCCUGCAAAGAAAUCUGGAUUCAAUGGGCCACACAACUCUCGUCCACGGCACCAUCUAACAGAAAAAAAUGGAGCAAGCACUCCUCUGUCUGCAGAGUAAUUAUUUUUAAUUUUGAAUUCUAUACACAAACUAGCAAUCACCCCAGAGGAGAAGGUCCUUCUUUACACCUUUAAAGUCUCAGCAAGUUUGUCACCUCCCACCUCCCCUAGCCCCUCCCUGUGGGGGGAAGUGAAUAAACCAAGAAAGAAGAAGGACCAGACAACAGUAGCCUCCAGUUCAGGGGCUAUAACAAAGGAACACAGGCAAUGGCAGGGUCCCCCCAAGCAAAGAGGAUGAGUUAGAAGGGGCACAGGAGAAUGGGGGAACCCCAUAGACUUGACAGUAUACCCUCCCUUGGAACAUCAAAAGAACUAAAGAUGCAACAGCAAAAGAACAGCACUGAGAAACUUCCAGAAAAAUUAAAACUAGACUUCAAUGAAAAAGUCAUUCAUUCACAGAAGGCCACUGGGCUUUGAGAAAGAAGCUCUUUCUUCCCAAGAGCCAAGCCCAUCCUCUGGCCAGAUGAGGGCUCCCGACCACAGAGAAGUUCCACUUCUGAGGCUUUUUGUGAAAUCUAUCAGCUACACACAGAAUGGAUUAAAUGUGGAGGUCCUAGAGUUGGCAACUGAAUACAGUUCAGUUGGUCCCAGCACAGGAGAGUCUUAAAUUACACCGUCUGCACCUGCUGUCUUCUUCCCCGGACAUCUCUGAGCACUGAAACAAGAAGGCAGGACAUGGCCUUAUUCAACCUCAGCAAGGAAUGUGCACAUUAGGCAAACAGAAAUUCUCACCAGCAAAAGCACCAUGAGUAUUAACCUUGGGAUUACAAAUAAAUUUUAGUGAAUAGCUGAAUUUACAAGCACAGAAUCUGUGAAUCAUGAAGACUGACUGCAUGUAAUCUU